GGCAAGAUGGCCGAGUGGUCUAAGGCGCUGUGUUCAGGAGGUUCAUCUUAUCGCAGUCUUCGGGCGUGGGUUCGAAUCCCACUCUUGUCA
rfam:Tstilago maydis 521 chromosome 1, whole genome shotgun sequence.